rnacentral:rRNA from 1 species
UACGUAGGCAGCGAGCGUUGUUCGGAGUUACUGGGCGUAAAGAGUGCGUAGGCGGUGUUCCAAGUCUGUUGUGAAAUCUCCCGACUCAACUGGGAGGGUGCGGCGGAAACUGGGACGCUGGAGUACGGGAGAGGUAAGCGGAAUUCCUGGUGUAGCGGUGAAAUGCGUAGAUAUCAGGAGGAACACCUGCGGUGUAGACGGCUUACUGGACCGUAACUGACGCUGAGGCACGAAAGCGUGGGUAGCAAAAGGG